rnacentral:lncRNA from 1 species
AGACUGAUGGUCGUAGAAAUUAUACUCAGCUAUUAGCAAGGAAGAAGACGAGCUUGUUAUUAGAAAAAUCAGAAAAUUAGGUUAAAAGCAUGAUUACAGCACAUUUUCUAUUUUCACAAUGCGAAUGAAAAGCCCAAACCACAAAAAGGUUCAGUUCUAAUAUUAACAUGCAUAAGCUUCAUUUCACGUAGCCAAGAAGUUAAUAGUACCAAUUAACAAAGCAUCUUACUGUGCAGGAGUGGACAUACAUUAAUCAUUUACAGCAUGACAGGGCAAAGACCGGAUGUAACACAGUACAAUUUUUGGGCCAACUUCUGUCUAUUGGGAUGUCAAAAGGGAAAAGUAGCAAAAAUGACAACAAAUUAAUUGAUGGAGUAGGAAAUAUUUGAGACAUGGCUGCAACUCUGUCUUUUAAUUGCCAUCAAACAAGAAAUAAGCACUCAUUCAAAUAGACAAUCAAGCAAAUGAAAGAACAUUACAGCCAGCAUAUUAAUGACAAAUCACAAAUGUCUUGCUAGUAACAACAAUGCAUGUGGUUGUCCUUCAAAAUGAAGUCCAACUAAUGGAGAUGUGUGUAAAGCAAGCAGGAAGAGAAGACAUGGAUUUCAUUCAAAAAGUAAUAUGACUGAUCAUAUAUAGAUUCAAUCAAGGCAAAACGACAAAGCUUUUCAAAAG